rnacentral:rRNA from 1 species
AGAGCGAACGCUGGCGGCAGGCUUAACACAUGCAAGUCGAGCGGGCGUAGCAAUACGUCAGCGGCAGACGGGUGAGUAACGCGUGGGAACGUACCUUUUGGUUCGGAACAACACAGGGAAACUUGUGCUAAUACCGGAUAAGCCCUUACGGGGAAAGAUUUAUCGCCGAAAGAUCGGCCCGCGUCUGAUUAGCUAGUUGGUGAGGUAACGGCUCACCAAGGCGACGAUCAGUAGCUGGUCUGAGAGGAUGAUCAGCCACAUUGGGACUGAGACACGGCCCAAACUCCUACGGGAGGCAGCAGUGGGGAAUAUUGGACAAUGGGCGCAAGCCUGAUCCAGCCAUGCCGCGUGAGUGAUGAAGGCCCUAGGGGUUGUAAAGCUCUUUUGUGCGGGAAGAUAAUGACGGUACCGCAAGAAUAAGCCCCGGCUAACUUCGCGCCAGCAGCCGC